GACGAACGCUGGCGGCGUGCUUAACACAUGCAAGUCGAACGGAAAGGCCCUGCUUUUGUGGGUUGCUCGAGUGGCGAACGGGUGAGUAACACGUGAGUAACCUGCCCUUGACUUUGGGAUAACUUCAGGAACCUGGGGCUAAUACCGGAUAGGAGCUCCUGCUGCAUGGUGGGGGUUGGAAAGUUUCGGCGGUUGGGGAUGGACUCGCGGCUUAUCAGCUUGUUGGUGGGGUAGUGGCUUACCAAGGCUUUGACGGGUAGCCGGCCUGAGAGGGUGACCGGCCACAUUGGGACUGAGAUACGGCCCAGACUCCUACGGGAGGCAGCAGUGGGGAAUAUUGCACAAUGGGCGGAAGCCUGAUGCAGCAACGCCGCGUGCGGGAUGACGGCCUUCGGGUUGUAAACCGCUUUCGCCUGUGACGAAGCGUGAGUGACGGUAAUGGGUAAAGAAGCACCGGCUAACUACGUG
rnacentral:rRNA from 1 species